AAUCUACUAAAAACCAUUGCAUUGUACACUUUAAAUGGUGCCAGACAUGGUGGUAUGAGCCUGUAAUCCCAGCUACUCAGGAGGCUGAGGUGGGAGGAUCACUCUGGCCUAGGAGUUUACAAUCAGCCUGGGGCAGAGAGCAAGACCCUGUCUCUAGAAAAGAGAAAGAAUAAAUGGCUGAUGGAGAUGACUCUACUGCAAAAAUGACAGCCAGCAAGAAAGUGGGUCGUGCCCGUUUCCUCCCUGGGGACCCUCAGAGGGCUAGGCCAUUCUCUUCCCUGGUGUGACUGUGAAUCCAGGGAUCUCGUGCCCCCAGUCUUAAGCGACUAGCACAGAGCUGGGAUUUUUUUGGCCCAGCUGAAGAGCAUCAGAUCUGUGGGCAUGGUAUGUUUGCUGAAGGACGGUGGCAGAGUUCCAGGCCAGGCAGGACCGGCCCAUGGUGUCAGUGCUGGCCCUUCCUCGUUGCACCAGUGAAUGCUGGAGAAGUACUUAUUGGACAUACAUGUUCCUCCAUUUAGACAGCCACAGUCUGCUGGAGAGAACAAAGCCAAUUGUUGUAGGGGUGGAUACUCACAUGGAACUUGAAGUUCACGGCUGCCCUGGAAGAGAUUCGGGAGGAGGCUUCAUCAAAGGUCCCAUGCUCCAGGGACUCCAGGGUGAGGGUAAACUGGACCCAGUCCCAAAACCCACUCUUCCUUCCCU